rnacentral:rRNA from 1 species
UACGGGGGGGGCAAGCGUUGUUCGGAAUUAUUGGGCGUAAAGGGUUCGUAGGCGGUCGACUCAGUCAGACGUGAAAUCCCUCGGCUUAACCGGGGAACUGCGUCUGAUACUGGUUGGCUUGAGUGCAGGAGAGGAAUGCGGAAUUCCAGGUGUAGCGGUGAAAUGCGUAGAUAUCUGGAGGAACACCGGUGGCGAAGGCGGCAUUCUGGACUGUAACUGACGCCGAGGAACGAAAGCCAGGGGAGCAAACGGG